AGAUAAACUGUCAGUCCGUUGAUGCAAAUCUUGCAUCUGUGCGCAGUAAAGUGGAAAACAACUUUCUCCAGACUCUCCUUGUGUCUGCUGACACACGUGCUUGGAUUGGUGCCCAUGAUGCUGAAAAGAAAGGACAAUGGCUGUGGUCUGAUGGAUCUCAGUUUGACCUUACCAAUUGGUGCUCCGGAAAACCUGACAAUUCUGGUGGUAAAGAGGACUGCCUGGAGAUAAACUUUAGCAAUAACCAUUGCUGGAAUGAUGCGCCCUGUUCAACCACAAUGAGCUACAUUUGUGCCAAACCUCUGAUAUCAUAAAAAAAAUACUAUGAUUGUACUACAUUUUCUGAUCUUAUCCUUAAAAGUCAGUAUCUUACUGUACCUUUCUGAUUUAAAAAAAUCAAUAAAAGCAUUUAUAAAGCAAA